CGCCACUCAAAAGCCUCAAGGAUAGCAACUGCUUCGCCUGUAAAAAUUGAAGAUUGUGGAGGACAUUUAAAUGGGAGAGCUAUAUUGUAUCGAGGAAUCCACACUGCUGCUCCCACGCAACUGGUCGCAUCCAUCUUGGAAGCGUCAGUAAACAUCGUGACCUCCAGCGCCAGCGGCCACAAGCGUGGAAGCAUCAAGUGGCUAUAGUAUGAGCUGCUCUUGAUUAAGAAUCUGUCCGCAAGAUACUGUCUGCGGAGAGCCAGUGGAGGGUCAACACUUUCUACCUGCAUGCCAUUCUUCGGAGAACACCUCAUAGCGCCAAGUAUAAUCCUCAAGCAUUUUGCCUGGAUGAGGUCUAGUUUGUCAAGGCCAUCCUUAUUGCAAGGUUCCAUUAAAAGUGACCCAUAAUCUAUAUGACUGCGUAUGAUGGCAUUAUAUAGUAACUUCUGGUAAUAAGGAUGAGAACCCCACCACACCCCGGACAGUGCUCGUAACUCCUUACUCGGAAUUCUGACACCGUCAUAGUAUACAUCAGUUGUUGGCAUGUUCCUUCUGCGGCUAAAUGUAACAGUACAACUCUUUGUCGGAGAUAGAGUAAGCCCAUGGUCACCGAGCCAAUCCCCAAGGUAACCCAGAGCCGUGUUCAGACUAGCAGUUGCUUUAUCCA
rnacentral:lncRNA from 1 species